AAUCAACGCUGGCGGCGUGCCUAACACAUGCAAGUCGCACGAGAAAGGGGAGCAAUCCCUGAGUAAAGUGGCGCACGGGUGAGUAACACGUGAAUCAUCUACCUCCGAGUGGGGAAUAACUGAGAGAAAUCUUAGCUAAUACCGCAUAACACUUACGAGUCAAAGCAGCAAUGCGCUUGGAGAGGAGUUCGCGGCCGAUUAGUUAGUUGGCGGGGUAAUGGCCCACCAAGACGAUGAUCGGUAUCCGGCCUGAGAGGGCGCACGGACACACUGGAACU
rnacentral:rRNA from 1 species